rnacentral:rRNA from 1 species
UACAGAGGUCUCAAGCGUUGUUCGGAUUCAUUGGGCGUAAAGGGUGCGUAGGCGGCGCGGUAAGUCGGGGUGUGAAAUCUCGGGGCUUAACUCCGAAACUGCAUUCGAUACUGCCGUGCUUGAGGACUGGAGAGGAGACUGGAAUUUACGGUGUAGCGGUGAAAUGCGUAGAUAUCGUAAGGAAGACCAGUGGCGAAGGCGGGUCUCUGGACAGUUCCUGACGCUGAGGCACGAAGGCCAGGGGGAGCAAACGGG